rnacentral:lncRNA from 1 species
AGAGUCUUCCGGCUCCUCUCUCGCGAAGGAGUGCUACGCGCUUCCGUCCAGAAAGAACUUCAAAUACCGUGAUGCAAAGCGACUCGACGCACGCGGGGAGGAGGAAGAGGAAGGCACUCGGAAGAGGACAAGUGGUGGCUCCAGACUGUCUGAAGACAGGAGUCUGUCAAGUGUCUGCUUUAAGAAAUCAGGUGUGCUGGCUGCUCCUAACUCUCAGAAGAAUGGGGAAGGAAGAUAAAGUGAUGCCCAGCCCAGCCCACAGGACACCUCCCUGCUCCAAGCCCUGUUCCUUACAUGCUGUAAUUGCUGAACACGGCUAGCCUCUGGGACUCCUGGGCAAAGGGGGGGGGGAGAAAAUAUGGAAGGAAGAACAGGAGACAUUUAGAUCUUAAAUUACCAGAAGUCUGAAGAUAGCAAAUUAUCUCUGAGAUGUUUAUCUUCUCUCAACUAAUUUGAAAUGCUACUUUGAAAAUGUGUAAGAUCUUGUAUAUGCACCAGUCUUGGAAUAUUUUCUGGACUCUGCCCCAUUUCUGAUUUUUUUUUUAGUGUCUUAUAGACCAAGUCCUAUUUCAUAACAAGUUUCUUAGUUAUUUGUCUGUUGUUCUGAGACAGGAUCUUACUAUGUAGCCUUGGUUAGCCUAGAACUCACUAUGUAGACCAGGCUGGUCUGGAAG